GUGGGUAUAGCUCAGUGGUAGAGCACAUUGCUUAGAAUGCACGAGGUCCUGGCCUGGCUUCACUCCCCAGUACCUCCA
rnacentral:tRNA from 1 species